rnacentral:ncRNA from 1 species
AAACAUAGACAGGGGUACUUAUCUAUCAAAAAUAGAUAUGGUUGAGAUCAAACUCUUGAGCUGAUCUAAUUAAUAUUAGCGUAGCGAGUCUUUGGUAAAAUAAU